CUGUGGACAUCCUUUUAACGUGAGUCAUCGUCGUUAUUGUCCUGCAAAGAAUGUGACCUGUAACAAUUGCGGAAAGCGGGGACAUUUCAUGAAAUUCUGCAAAGCUCCGAAGAUCAACAGCAACAGUGACAUCUCACGGGAACCGGUACGAACAACGCAUGAAGUGAAGCAAAGGAACGACAAAGAUGUAAACAUGAUCGCGUGGGCUGAUUCAGAGUAAACUGUAACGUAGCAACAGUGGGUUCCAAUUACAAAUGGACUAAACGAUACCUAAUUCAGGACUGGCCAGUGGAAUUUAAGCUUGAUACCGGUGCAGAUGUCAAUUGCAUUCCUGUUAGCGUGGUUACCCGUAUGAACUUACCGUUGUCGAAAGAGCGUACAUUUAAUGUUGUGGAUUAUAAUAAUAAUCGUAUAAAAAUACACGGUCAGAUUCGUCUUACUUGUGUUGACGAGGAAACCAAAAACGCAUUAUCAGCUAAUUUCUUUGUUGUAGAUGAUAAUCUUCAACCAAUAUUGGGAUUACAAACAUGUAUAGCAUUUGGAUUGCUGAAACGC